rnacentral:piRNA from 1 species
UGAUAAGGGGUAAGACAUACAGGG